rnacentral:lncRNA from 1 species
AGAGCUGCUGGAGAGAACAGAAGCUAAACAAACUGAGUUUCAUAUACAUAGUCCAGAUCCAAAAUACAAAGCUACUCGCACUUGCGAGUUAAGUCCACUAUGUACAUAAACUCGAAACAAAACAUCUACCUGCAGUAGGAGCACCUCUAGCUCAGCACGUCGGGUAGGGCUCUAACUCGCAACGCCCUUGCCUCGAUCCUGAUCCGCGGACGGUGCAGCAGCCGGAACCUGUGGCUCUGCAAAAACAUAGGUAACAACUGGGCGUGAGAACUACUGUAAAAACAAGUAGUCCUCAGUGGGUACCGCCCAAAACAACAUCGGUCUACCCACUAAGUCUACAGAAGGGAGCAAGAAUAGUAGUGAAAUGCAGGAAUAAAGUCUACCGCUAUCAAAUACUACACUAUCAUGCUCUACACUAACCAACUGUAGGAAAUGUCCAACCUGACCCAAUCCAAUCGGGACUGUAAGCAUACCCGUCCCCGGGACUGUGAAUACACCCGUCCCUGCCCCGUUGUGACUGUCAAGCUCUAUCCACACUAACUGGUCCGUGGAGAGCAGGUCCAACUGGCAUGAGCGACACCAACGCGAAAGCACAAAGCCUGACUCCGGAGUGGCACUCGUGGGCGCUACCCAACCGAGUAUGCAGCGUAUCUCUGUCGAGCUCAAUCAGGCUCCAACUAGCCAAAGUCAAGUAAACAGGGUCAAAACAGGUCUACAAACCAAACCCACGUGCCCUCGGCACAAUCUGUGACCAAAACAAGAAUCUGGGUCCACCGCUAACCCGAACGGCACCCAACGACCCGAAACAGCCUAAACUCUGCUGAAAAAUAAGCUCGGCAUCUCAGCACGAGCGUAAAUGCCUUCUAAACUACCUGGGGUACUCACAACCCGAAUACAAUAACUGUAUAAAAAUACAACGGCCCCUAAGGCUAAAUCAGGUAAUUCAACAUAUGCCAGAUUCCGAACGCUGAUUUUCUCCUAUGUUUUAUCCAAGUCCCACAUGUAUGAUUAAUAACAACUAAUAACAUGCUCCCAAUUCAGUUUAUAUGUCUAAAACAUACCUACUUAUGAAUUUGAGCUAAACAAACAAUAACAACUUGUAAUAUUAACGAUACAUGUCGAUGAACAAUAUUAUAGGAGUAGGAUUCCGAUGAUAAACCCACCUCGUAUGCUAAAUCCAACGCGGGGCGACGUCGAGAACGGCGAAACCACGCCCUCGCCCGGACUCCUCGCGAUGCUACGACUGCAACCGUAUCCUCGAACGGCUCGGCGGCGCGAUGUCGACGUUGAAUCCGAGCUCCACGGCUACUCCCCCAAGCUCCACCUCGUGUGGUUCUCUACUUCACACUAAAGAGAGAAAGCAAAAACUAAAUUAAUUAGAGCCACCCUCAACCAAAUAAGCAUGUAUGGGGGAGUGCACGUGGCAUCCAUAGCCAUGCACACUUAGUCUAGGUACUAAUAUAUACAUAUAUAUAUAAAGAAAGGAUACUACAUUAAUUGUACGAAAAGAACGUUUUCUUAAUUAUUUAUUAUUUUCUUUUAAACUACAGUCUUCUCCUGAACGAGCCCCUUUUGCUCAUUAUUCAAAGAUGCAGAUGGAACGGCAGCUUCGUAGGGAAGCCCGUCUCGAGAAAAAGAGAGGGAUGGAAAAGAAGAAGAAAUCUGUUGAAACGGCGAGCACGACGCUGUUACCAAGUGAGGUUGCAUCACCUCUUUCUGUUCCUGCCCCAAUAUCAACCACAGGGGAUGAACAAAUAAACAUACCUCUUGGGCGAACUUCUGAAGACAAAAGCACUAUUCCUCCCUGCUCGACCCAGGGAGCUUCUUCCCCUAUUGCUGAUGAUCCUUUAUCUGCAACUCUUCAUUCUUUUUUGAUUUCAAGCCAUAGCUCCAAUGAGGGGGAUGAUUCUUCGACCAUUACCAUUUCAUCAGACACUCAGAACAAGUUCGAUGAAUGUCUUAAGAUGUAUAGCAUUGGUAUUCCUGGUCUAUCUCAGAAUCUAGAACAAUUUGAUCGGUUAUACGCCCUUUUACUUGAUUUAGCCGAUCGAUCAGACAUUACCCCCGGUAUCAAAUAUUUUGUAGCAACUUUAUCACUCCAACUUUCAUCUUUCUUGGCUCGGCAGCAAUCUUUGGGCGCCGAAUUUGUAGCUUUAGAUCAACAUUUCCAUCGUGUUGAUCAUUUUAAGAAGAAUAUCCCUGAUAUAGCAACUCCGAAUACUGAAGUGCAUCAAGAAGAUAAAGAAUUGGCUGAUUAAGAAUCGGCUCUACAAAAGCGGAUUUUCACUCUUAAAGAAGAGCUAGCUGCAGCCGAAUCUACUCUGGCACAAACCUCUGAGCGCCGACUUCAACUAAAAGAUCAAUUGAAGUCCAAAAGGGAAGAAGGGAUAAGGCUUAAAGAGGAGCUUUCUCAACUUUACAAAGUACAUCCUCUGAUGAAGCACCGAAGGAAAGUUGCUGAAACCGCCCAAGCCAAUCCCAUAGCCGAAUGGAAUCAACUCAAAGACUUAUUGUCUUGAUUCGGCUUGUAAUAUUCUAACUCUGAUUUUGACUAUGCUCCCAUAUGGAUGGAUAAUAUUUCUUUAAAUAUUUUUCGUUGAUUGGUUUUUCACUUGACCCAUCUCUGUUUUCCAAAUAAUAUGCAUUUUCUCUUGUGAUUCGGCUAAUCUGAAAUGGUCCUUCCCAAUUAGGGGAUCAUUUCCCAUACAUUCGGUCUUUUUGACCGAUUGGAAAAACUAGCCGAAGUACUAAAUCACCGACGACAAAUAUUUUUAAUCGAACUUUCUUAUUGUAUGCAUUACGUAUUCGGCUUUGGUAUGCAUGCAUAUUAUCCAAAGCUAUCAACCGAGUAUAUGUUAAUUCCUCUGUUUUGUCUUUCAUUAACUCACUAUAUUCAUCAGCCGAACGAUUUUUUUGUUUUUCUAUCCUUAAAGAAGGAACUGUUAUCUCGGCUGGGAUUACAGCCUCAUGGCCGUAUACUAAUUGGAAUGGUGUCAUCCCUGUUGCCGUUUUAACUGAAAUUCGGCAUGCCCAUAAUACUUCGAAAAGUUUUUCAUUCUAUUUUCUCGGAUGCUUCCCGAUAUGUCGUUUCAUAAGGUUAAUGACUAUCUUAUUUGCUGCUUCUACAUGUCCAUUCGCUUGAGCAUAAUAAGGAGACGAAUGAAGCAGCUUUAUUUUUCGAGACUCGAUGAACCGAACAAACUGUCCUCCUGUGAACAUUGUCCCUUGGUCGGUUGUGACGGUCUCAGGAAUUCCGAAACGAUGAAUUAUAUGAUCUUCAACAAAAUCAAUAAUUUUCUUUUGAGUAACCAACCGAGUAGGUUUGGCUUCCACCCACUUAGUAAAAUAAUCGAUAGCUACUAUUAGAAAUUUGUGACCAGCCGAGGAAUUCGGCUGAAUUUCUCCAAUUAAAUCAAUGGCCCAUCCUCGGAAAGGCCAUGGUUUAAUUAUUCCGUACAUCUCAGAGGCAGGGACCCUCUGAAUCGGGCCAUGAAAUUGACAUUCUUGGCAACCUUUAACAUAUUCUAUGCAAUCUUGAUGCAUAGUCGGCCAAUAAUAUCCUAGGUGCCGAAUUGUUCAUCUUAACUUUUUUUCCGCUAGAUGGGUUCCACAUAUUACUUCAUGUGUUUCUCCCAUUACUAAUAGAGCUUCUUCAGGCCCUAAGCAUUUUAAUAGAACUUCUUCGGCUGUUCUUUUGUAAAGUUGACCAUCCAACAAACAAUAGCCGAGAGCUCUUCUUCGAAUAUUAUAAUCGACCCUUAUAUUAGGAUCCUCCAAAUAUUUAAUCAAUGAUUUCCUCCAAUCUUCUUUCACUUCUAUAGGAGCUAUAAUCGGUUCUCGUAUGUGAACCGAAGGUAGUAAUCUCCUCUGUAUUACUAUUAACUCUGACUUCGGCUCUCUGUAUCCUGAAGCCGAUUGGGCCAAUUCAUUUGCCUUUUCAUUUUCCUGUCUACUCAAAUGUUCAAAUUCGGUUUCUCCGAAGUUGCAUAAUAAUUCUAUUGUCUUCCUCAAAUAAUUUUGCAAACUCGGAUUCUCACAUCGGUAUUCUCCGUUAACCUGCUUGAUUACUAACUGUGAAUCACCGAUAACUUUGAUUGACUUUGCUUUCAAUUCUUGCAAUAUUUCAAGGCCGAUUAUCAAGGCCUCAUACUCAGCUUGGUUGUUAGAACAACCGAAAUCUAGUUCAAAUGCAAAUUGAUAAAUAUGACCUUCAGGAGAUUGUAUCAUUAUCCCUGCUCCUGUAGAUUCGGUUGUUUUUGAACCGUCAAAGUACAACUUCCAAGGUUGACAGCCGAUCAAACUUUGUUUUGACUCCUCGAUCUCUACACAUGGGUGAUCAGCUAAAAAGUCGCCUAUAGCCUGACCUUUAACAGUUUUGCCGGGAACAUAAUUAAGAGAAAACUCGGAUAAAACUAAUAUCCACUUUCCAAUCCGCCCUCUUAAUACUGGCUUAGAUAACAUAUAUUUUACCAAAUCGGUUUUGCAUAUUACCGAUACUUCUGUUGAUAAAAUAUAAUAUCUCAAUUUCGUGCAUGCGUAAUAUAAAGUUAAACAUAAUUUUUCUAUAGCCGAGUACCGUUUUUCUGUAUCUAACAGACGUCGGCUUAGGUAAUAAAUGGCCUGCUCUUCCUUCUCUUCAUUUUCUUGAGCCAGCAAACAUCCUAAAUUUUCGUCUGCAGCCGAUAUAUAUAACUUUAUCGGCUGAUUUGGCUUUGGAAGUACUAGUACUGGAGGAUUUGAUAAGUAUUUUUUUAUAUUUUCAAAUGCCUCCUGCUGUUCCUCUGCCCUAACGAAUUCUUCUUUAUCUUUCAGCCGAAGUAAUGAAGUAAAAACUCCGAUUCUUCCGGCUAGAUUAGAUAUAAACCGCCGAAGAUAAUUAAUCUUCCCCACAGACUCUGUAGCUCCUUUUUGCACUUGGGUGGCGGUAAUUCUAAUAUUGCUCUCGCCUUAUUUUUAUCAAUUUCGAUUCCUUUCUUAUGCACAAAAAAUUCCAGAAAGUUCCCUGCAGAAACUCCAAAAGCGCAUUUCAAAGGGUUCAUCUUUAAAUUAUAUUUUCUCAUUCUCUCAAAAGCGAGCUUUAAAUAGAUCCAAUGUUCGGCUUGUGACUUGGAUUUGACAACUAUAUCAUCGAUAUAUACUUCCAACAUUUUGCCGAUUAAGUUAUGGAAAAUAAAAUUUAUUGCUCUUUGGUAAGUGACUCCGGCAUUCUUUAAGCCGAACGGCAUAACAACCCAUUCAAAGGUUCCAAUUGAACCGGGACAUUUGAAAGCCGUUUUAGCCACAUCUCCCUCAGCAAUAUAAAUUUGAUUAUAACCAGCAUCUCCAUCCAUAAAGGACAGAGUUUCAUUACCAGCAGCCGAAUCUACUAACAUAUCGGCUAUUGGCAUUGGAUAUUCGUCUUUAGGUGUAGCUAAAUUCAAGUUCCUAAAAUCGAUACAAACUCUAAGUUUGCCAUUCUUUUUACGCACUGGAACUAUAUUAGACACCCAAUCAACAUAACGGGCCGCUCUAAUAAAUCCGGUCUUUAAAAGAUUUUCGAUUUUAUUUUUAAUUUGGAAUAUAAUACUCGGCUCAAACCUACGAGCCGGUUGUUUAAAAGGCUUGAACCCUUUUUUGAUGGGCAACCGAUGCUCUACAAUCUCUCGGCUUAGACCUGGCAUUUCUUCAUAGCUCCAGGCGAAGCAAUCCUUGUACUCCUUCAACAGCUUCUUCAAUUCUUCCUGUUGCUGAGCCGACAGCUUGGAACUUAUAAACGUCGGCCUGUUGUCUUCAUAAGACCCCAGGUUUACUUCUAUCAACAAAUCCUGGGUCUCCAGCUUCUUCUCGUCGACUUUAAUAGGCGAUUCUUCAAGCUUCAUUUCCGUUGUUUGCCUAUUCAUCUCAUAUGAUUUAUCAGUCUCUAUGACCGAUUUCAUUUGACCUUUUUCCUCGGCUUUAUGUGCCGAAUCUUUUAUGGCUUCCUCGGCCUUAUUGGCCGAAUUGCCAAACGUUAACACAUCGGCUAUAGCAGCCGAAUCAUCCCCAUAGCCGAUCUUGUUGAUCGACUCAUUCUGUAGAGGCUUAUGCCAAGCCUCUAUUCUUGACUUUUGGGACUCCAUUUUAACCAUUUGGGUGGCUCUUCAUCAGCCACCAUAGCAUUGAUAUCUUUGGAGAGAAUUAAUUGAAUCCCCUCCUCCGUUACUCUUACAAACGAAAUCUGAUCUGGGUCAGCAUCGGCCCAAUUGGUAUGACCGAUGUCCUCCAUGUUAACAUCUAUCAUUUGAGGCCGUCCCUCGGCCCGGAUUUCUUCUACUUUGUCCCCUAUCCACUAGAACAAUUUCCCGUGGAGUGUAGAGGGUACGCACUCAUUUGAGUGUAUCCAAUCUCUUCCUAAUAGUAAGUUGUAGUGGCUAUCUGCAUCUACUACAAAAAACGCAGUUUUUAACGUUUUUGAGCCUACCGUGAGUUCGGUGGUGAGCACUCCUCGAGCUUGCUGACCGUUUCCUGUGAAAUCGGUCAUGAUUGAAUCGGUGGGCUUCAAUUCGUCUUCAUCUUUGCCCAACUUCUUAAAAAAGAAAGUAGGCAUCACAUUGACCAUGGCUCCGCCGUCUACCAUGACUCGGCCUACCGGCCGACCUUCGAUUAAAGCUUUUAUAAAGAGAGGCCUUAUGAACCUCGUUUGCAUGGCCGAUGGUUUCUCAAACACCACUGCAUCGGCCUGUCGAACAUCCUCUAGCUGCAAUUGGGCUACUGUAAGCCCAUUUUCUUCUUCCUCUCUGAAUUCCUUGUACUCAACAAACUCUGCUUUGAAGGAUUGAGGCAAAGCGUACACCAUACUCACCUCGGCCGGUGAUUCAUCAGCCGACUUUCCUUUGAUUUUCUGUUUCUUCUCUUCUGACUCCUUGACCGUUUCGGCUGAAGGGUCGCUUUCCAUACGGACCUCCCUCUCUUUAGGAGGCCAUCUUUCUCUCUUGAUCAUUGUCUCGAGGGAAGCUAUUUUAUCUUCUAACUCCCUCCUGGUCAUUUUUUCUUCUAACUCGGCCUCGGUUGGCCGUUCUAUUCUUGACUUCAACUGGAGGGCAGGCGAUGAGCCGCCUGCCUCGUGGUCAUUUCUCAUCGGACGAAAAGGGUGCGAUCGCUCCUCAGGGCAUCUCCAUACAUUGAGCCUCAUCCCUUUCGCCUUUUCAUAAUUUUGUCUUGCCUCUGCUUGCAUCCUCUGCUGCCGACGCUUCUGAUUUUUUGUUAACAUCGGCUCCUGCCAUCUGGCCGAUGGUUUAAUUUCGACUUCGUGCCAUUCAUCUACUGGCACAUUUGCUGGUACUUUUACCGUUCUUAAAUGAUUUUUUAGAAUUUCUCUUCUUUCCCAUGGUCUCGGCCAAGGCUGAAUGCCGAGUUCGUUGACUAGCCUUCGACCGAGAAAUCUAUGUCUCCCUUGGUCAUUCCUUCAAAUUCCGGUUCUGGUCUCGGCCUGGCUUGUUGUUACUAGUGUGGCCGAUAUCCAGGGAACCUUUGCUUGGAGCCGAAUGGUCUAUCCUGGUAAUCCCAUCGGCCAUGACGUUCUCCACGCCUAUUGUUGUAGUAAUCAUACAGAAUCUUCUGCAUCAGCAUAUCUUUCUUGCGUUGAACCGAAUCUACUUCCGGUUCAGUGUCAUCAGAGGCUGCAUCCGAGCCUUCUUCUUCUUGGUCUUCACCAUCGGGAAUGUCAUCCCAAUCCUCAGGGAACGCCAUCAGCUCAUUCCAUUCGUUCCCCCUUUUCUUGGCAUUCACGAUAGCUUUCCAGUCUUUUUUCGUCAUUUCGGCCUUGCACUUGAUGCAUAGCCGAAGAUGUUUUUUGGCAUGGGGUACAUUGUCAGCGGUCUCCUUGUCCAAAACUUCCUUUCCUUUAAUAUUCACCAUGUUGACCUGAAAUGGAGAUGAACUUUUGUUAAUUAUUUGAUUUUCGUUUUUCUAGUCGACCAAUAUGAGUCGACCCUCUUCUAUUUCUUCUUGGAUCUGCCUUUUCGCAGUCGCUUUUUCUUUCCCUUUCAUGUUCACGGCAUUGACCUGUGAUGGAAAAGGAUUCUUAUCAAUUUCCAUACCUUUAUUUUCUUGGUCGGCAAAGAUCAGCCGACCCUCAUUUAUCUCUUUUUGAAUUUGCAUUUUAAAGGCAGUACAUUCACUAGUUUUAUGGCUCCAUGAAUUGUGCCAUUUGUAGUAUUUUCUGCGUUUUAGUUCUUCUACAGGAGGUAUAGUUUGACCUUCCUGUAGUUUAAUUCGUCCAUCCUUUAACAACCGAUCGAAAAUAAGAUCGGCCUUUGCUAUGUCAAAUGAAUAAUUAAAUGCUGAUAUUUGUGCUUUUACUUCUCUUGACUUAGCAGGUUUUAGCAAAGCACACUUGUACGGUUGACUAUUCAUCACCAUCUCGGCAGCACAGAUUUCGACUUCAUCAGCCGAAUCUUCUGCCUCCUCAGAUGAAUUCGGCUCUUCCUGAGCCGAGGACUCUUCAAAGAAAGAAAUAUUUUUCUCCUUCCCUUUAUUCCAAUCUUUGUUUCGGCUCCAUCUAGGCCGAUCCUCAUUAUUCCCUUUUCGAAAUUGCUCGUAUUGAGCAACUCAAACUCCCAAAUCAAAAAGAUUUGGAAAGAACUUGUCUUCAAAAUGAUCUUUGAUCUUAAAAUGCAUGCCGUUGAAUGCCAUUUUAGCAAACUCUGAUUCCGGCAUUCUCACAAAAUAUCGGCUUCGAGCUGUCUUGAAUCGGUUUAAAUAUUCAUCAACCGAUUCUCCUGUUUUCUGUCUAAAUUGAGCCAAAUCCGCAACCGACAACUCUGGCUCGGUUCUAUAAAAUUGCUUAUGAAAUCUACCCUCUCAUUCGUCCCAAUCUCGGACGGAAUUAGCAGGUAAACUUGUAUACCAGGUGAAGGCAGUCUUGGUCAAUGAAGUAUUGAAUAACCUUAAUUUUAGAAAAGGAUCUGCCGCCGCUUCACGGCAUUGAGCUGUAAAUCGAGCGACAUGUUCGACUGUAUUUUCGGUCUCAUAGCCGAAAAAUUUGUCAAAUUUCGGCAUCUUCGAAUUUGCCGGAUAUGGAUGUUCUACAUCUAUAUUAGCAGGAUAUGGUGAUCUGAAUAUAGGCCGCAUUGCCAGCCUUGUGCCUACUCCGAAAGUAUUCCGGAUAGCUUCUUCUAUUUGUGCAUAUAUCUCAUUAUUAAUUCCCUGCAAAGGGGCUUGCGCUGGCACUGGGUUCGGUGGUUGUUGAACACCAAGAUUCUGUACUAAGGGGUUAACCCCUUGUACAUUCGGAGCCUGCCCCCUAGCCCCUACAUUUUGGGGCUGGUAGGCUGCAACUGGAGGGGGUGGAGGUAACCCCCAAGCCACUUCCGGCUGUUGACCGGUGUUACCAACAACCGGUCUAUAAGCCGCUUGAUACUGUGCCCCAUGGUAUUGGGGCUGACCAACUGCCGGUAUUACUGGAUUCUGUAACACCGGUGUUAUCACAGGCGCUUGUAGGCCUGCUAUCGGCUGUUCAUUCCGAGCUAACAACUGUCCUAUUCGGGCUAUAUUCUCGUUAGAGGCCGUGAUUGCUGCCAAAAUGGCAUCCAACUGUGCAGUACUCGCAUGACUAUUUUGGUCCAAAGUUUGUAGGACCCGAGUCAUUUAACCGAGCGCCUGGGUCAAACUAGGCUCAUGUUGGCCAGAUUGACCACUUGUUUCACCCUCAGCGGGCAAGACUGCUUGGCGCUCUAUCAUACUUUCUGAAUUACUGGGCUGUUCACUCCCAGAAUUUCUAGGGAUAGCCCUAUUACGAAGAUUUAUGGCGUUAUCAUCAGCCAUGCUUUAUAUAAAAUGCAAAUUUACCUUAAAUGUGUGAGUCCCACCGGGCGUGCCAAAAAAUUGUUGGUGGCCGAAAGUCCCGACCCUUGACCCGGUCAAGUAUUCUCCUCGGGAAGAGCGUCGGGAUGAUGAGCGGCCGCGGAUGAUGACCCUCGAAGUUUGCGCCCACGACGGAUCAAGUGAUUCGGCCGAUGAGGGAUCGAAUCAGCCGGGUUCGAAGACCUCUGCAGUAAACUCGCUUCGGCAGGAUGAACCGAAUGGAGAGGGAAAGCCCAGAAUUCGACUGAGAGAUGAGCCGAAUGGCUAGACAACUCGAGAUUUGAUCGGCAGGAAGAGUCGAUGAAAUGACUUUCUAUUGAAUAGCAAAUGGGAAAAAGUACAAGCACAGGAGAGUAAUGCCCGUAGGGCAGACAGACUCCAAGUAUGAGAACAGGGGAGUGAUGCCCGUAGGGCAGACAGACUCCGAGUAUGCUAGAUUACAGGAACUACUUCUAAGGAAAGCGGUAAAUGCGAGAAUAGAAAGAUCCAGGAAAAUAAAGAUAGUCUUUUGUGCGCAGGGGCGAAGACCCUUUUUCAGGGUAUCGUAUGCCUAUUUAUAGAACCGCCCUUGCGUUAGUUAUUGCUCUUGCACGAUCAGCCACUAUCUCCUGAUUCGUAGAACCAUCUUCGGCCGAUCGGAACCGCUCAUAACCGCUUGCGGUUGCUACGCUUUUUGAACAGACGCGGCUCAUAGCUUCUGGCGCGUCUUGUAUACUCCUGGUCCACCAUUUUGACAUGGGUCAUGGACGUAGCCCUGGCUUGCCAGCUGUCCGCACCGAAUUGGCUCAACAAUUUUCAUACUGGAUUCAAACUAUUAGUACUUUCUUAAAAAAGAUAUACUAAUCUUUAACAAUAUGUCAACCCAAAUGAUUCCAUAAGUUUGUAACAAACUCGACAUUUCAAAUAUAAAAUAUAAAAUAUUUUCGAAAUAUUACAAAUUUUAAACCAAAAGAUCCUAAAUAUAAUACGAAAAUUUAGCUCAUUAAUUAGUGAAGGCGGGGAUCUAAUUCAUUAACUUGGCUUUGGUAAAAUUAUUGCUAGUUUUCAAAAAUAAUUUUUAAUAUUUUAUAUUCAACAUUUAUCCUCAUAUUUUAUUUGAGACUUUUUGCUAGAUCAAACAUGUGGAUUUGAACUAAAUGAGAGAAAAUUAAAUAAAGCUAAGAACAUGCUAAAAUUCGAAUCAAGACUUUACAUUUUGAUAUAUACUAUGUUUUUCGAAAAAAAAAAAAUGCUACUACUAGCUACUCCUGCCUUCGACUAGAAUACUUGUCUUUCGAAAAUCGCCUGAUAGUUGGAAGAUAUAAUAUUGUUGUUCUUGUGAAAGAGGGGACUUUACUCUAAUGAUCUGUGCAGUACAAAUCAGAAUUCGACUUUUCUUAUAAGCUCAAAUUUUAUUUGAAAAUUGAAUUGUGAUAACUUAAUUCUAAUAAUUUCGACCGGUCCUUCAAAAAAAAUUCAAAACAGAAUCCUGUUAAAUUGGCUGAAUUUUUUUUUUUAGAGAGAAAGAUAACAUGCUAUCCACUUCGUUUAUUUCAUUUAGAAAUAAAUUUAGCUGGAAAUGUGAAUCAACUAGGAUUCGAAUUUGGAUCUCGGGUACUAAUCAUUAAGCCCUUUUGCCACUUGCACUAGGAACGGUCGGUAUUGGCUGAAAUAUUAUGCUAACAACUAUACACAUGUAUGUUUAGAAAUUUUAGAGAGUUUUUUAUGUGUUUUUUUAAUUUUCUCUUUUGAAAAGUUAUUGUAGAAAAAUUUCCAUAGUGAGAGAGAACAUUUUCCUAUACGUUACAAGACGUUCAAGUCACGUUCUAAUUGGAACUUCAGAAACAAACUAAAAGCCAUUAUUAGCUGUCUAGAUAAUGACGGACAGGUCAAUAUAAAAGUCAGUGAAUGUACUUAAUUACUCUCGGCGAUAUAACUUUCAAAAUCUAACCAACAUUUCAUAUGGUUAAGGGGCCGUUUGGUCCACGUAAAAUUAUAAAAAAUAAUUUUUGAUGAAAAAAAAAAAUUCAAAAAAAAUAAAUUUUACGCUUGUGUUUGAUUUGUACGAAAAAAAAAAAAUUAUCACGAUUGUAUAAUUGAAAUAAAAAUGAAAGAAAAAGAUAAAUAAAAAAAUAUUAUAUAUAUUUUUUCCUAUUCAAUAUAUUAAAUAUUAUUAAUAUAUAAUAAUUAUCAUACUAUAUAUAUUAGAAAAAAUGAAUUAAAAAAAUAUUUGUACAUUCUUUUUGGUCAUUUGAAAAAUUAAAUUUGUUUUAUUAAUUUAUUUAUAUAUAUAUUGUAUUAUUUAACAAGUAUUAAAAUCUAUGCAAUAUUACAAUAUCAUAGUUUAUUAAUAGGUAAUAUGUUAAUAAAAAUAUAUUAAAUUUAUAUGUAAUAUAUAUUAUUCGUAUUAUCAUAUUACAAUACAUUACAAAUAUAAUAUAUAUUUAAUAUUAUUAAAUUUUUAUAAUAGUGCAAUCAUUACGUGGCUUUUGGUUUGGGCAAUUCAUGCCGUUCAUGAGGUUGGAUGCUUCCUCGUGGACCGUAUGGGAUUUUUGUGCAUAGACUUGGUAUGCCGUGUUUUUGGGUGCAAAAGUUUUUAUUUUUUGAUUGGUUUGAGCGGAAAAUAAAAAGAUGAUUUUUUUGAGAAUCUGUAAAAUUAUUUUACAAAAAAUCUCUUUUACAAGCAACCAAAUAACUGAAAAUAGAUUUUUCAAACUGAAAAUAAUUUUCGUCCUGCUUUUAUAGCAAAUCAAACACUCGCUAACUGAUUGUCUCUUUACAGAAAAGUGAGUUUGACGAGAGCCAUUGUGAAAAAUUUAGGCACCAUAAUUAUGCCCUAACCGCUACUUAAAUGAUGGAAAUUUAACCGAUUUAAUAUAAUGGUGUGAGAUAAGAGAUAAAAAUUUAACUUACUAGAUAGAAUACGAAAAUUUAAUCCAUUAAAUAUUUUAGGUAGAAAUCAAAUUAGUGACCUGAGGUUCAAAUAUCAAAAGAAUCAUAUCUUUAAUAUUUUAUAUUCAAUACUUUUCUCAUGUGAAUUCAAAUAAUUUUAUAGGUGCAAAAUAUAAAGUUGAUAAAUAAGAAAAAAUUAAAUAAAGUUAGGAACUAAACAAGAUUCAAACUUAGAAUUUAGUGUUCUAAUACUGUAUUUUCUGGAAUAAAUAUAUAAUGUAGAAUUUCAACCCAUGAGAUUUUGGAAGUAGGGAUUGAACUAACAAACGCAUGAAACAUAUAGAAUGAAGGAUAGUAUAGACUUUGAAUCCGAACUUAUACAUGUUAUUACAAAUGGAGGAAAAAUACUUACCUUAGCCCCUGUUGGAUGCCGAAUUUUCCAACCCUUGACCCGGUCAAAGAUUCUCCUCGGAAAGCGCGUCGGGGUGAGGAACGGCUGCGGAUAGUGCCCUCGAAGUUUGCGCCCUACGACAGAUCAAGUGAUUCGGCUGACGAGGGAUCGAGCCAGCCGGAUCCGAAAAUCUUCACUAUAAAACUGGUUCAGCUGGAGGAGCCGAAUGUAUAAACUGUGCAGGUAUCAAUGUCGGCAGAAGAGCCGAAUGGAAGAAGUACACAGUAACUGGUCGGCUGAAAGAGCCGAAUAAAUUAAAUACACAAUGACUGGUCGGCUGAAAAAGCCGAAUGCCUAAAUAUAUAUUUAAUAAUAAAAAAGAGUGUGCCCGAAUGACAUACAGACUCAGAAAUAUAGUUUACAAUAUAGUGAUGCCCGUGGGGCAGACAGACUCCAGAGUUCUACUUAGCGAACUACUCCUAGGAAAGCAGUAAAUGCGGAAAAAAAAAAAUUACAUUUAAACUAUUCCUAGAAAAAUAAUAAAAUGCAGAGGAAAUAAGGAUGGUCUUCUCAUUCAGGAUGAAGAAAGACCCCUAUUGCAGGUUUUGAAAUUACUAUUUAUAGUAACAUCAACCCACAUUAUUGAUUGGUUAGGGGAGUGGUUGUAACCAUGAUCGUGGAAGUUACGCCCCACUUUCAUGGAAGUUACGUCCCACUUCACAUGAAAGUUAUGCCCCACUUCGCAUGAAAGUUACGCCCCACUUCUCAACAGUUCCCGCCCAAAACCUUCAGGCGCCUUAUUGCCGACUUCUGGUGUAUCACGUGUCCUUAUUGACUCAUACGUGAGUUAAGUCGGUAUGUUAAUUUCAAUUUUGGCAUCGACAGCCCCGUUUGGAUAUCUCUAAAAACGUAGCAUAAUUAAACUAUACUAUACUGAUAGAAAAAUUAUCCUAUGAAGCGUUUGAAAGAAAAUUUUAUAAUUUAAUUUAUAUUCAAAUUUUUAAAUUCAAAUUUUAAAAUUUGAAUUUUAAAUUUUAAAUAUCAAAAGUUUAAAUUUUAUAAUUUCAAAAUUUAAAUGUCAAAUUUUAAAUUUUAAAUUUUCUAAUUCUAUAAAUUCAAAUUUUAAUUUUUGAAUAUCAAAUUUUACAUUUUAGUUUUCAAAUAAUAAAUUUCAAAUUUUAAAAUUUCUAAUUUAUAAUUUAAAUUUUUAAUUCUCAAAUUUCAUUUGGAUCAAAACUACAGUUUAUAAAUUUCGUGAAAAUUUUUUACUGUACAUCCAAACAGGCCCUAAAUGUUUUUUUUGAUCUAACUAGAGUUUCUAUAAAAAUUUUUUGAUAAAGUCAAAGUUUUUGAUCCAUGCUNUUUUUUUACUUUUAAAUUUUAAAUUUUAAAUUUUAAAUUUUAAUUUUUUAUUUUAAAAUUUUAAAUUUCAAAUUUUUAAAAAUUAAAUUUAGAUUUUUAUUAUUUUAAUUUUUAAUUUCAAAUUUCACAUAUCAAAUUUUAAAUUUUAAAUUUUCAUUGAAAUUUUAAAUUUUAAAUUUUAACUUUUAAUUUUAAAAUUUAGAGAAAUCCCGUAAAAUUGUACAUUGCGUAUCCAAACAAUUUAAAAUUUGUAUCCGUGGAAUUUUUUAGAGUUACAGGAUUUCCUAUUUUAUUUAGAACGAAACUGCAGUUUAUAAAUUCCGUGGAUUCAAUUUAUGAAUUAUAUUCUAGAAACUUAAAAAUAUUGGUGCCAUCAGGUAGUCCUGUUGCAUCUUCUCUAGGAAUUGAGAUAGCGAUGUAGUAGUACCACCUGUAUAUUUUGACUAUAUUUUCAAGUAGUACUUCUGUACAAGUUGACGGAAGGAUUCAAAUGCUAGCCCAUCAAAUAUUAAAAUUGAUCAAAAUUUCUCAGUGAGCACCAAUAAAAAUAUGUAAUUUUUUUUUUCUACCACAUGCUCAAUGCCCCAGCAGGCAGGAAGUUUUAAUCUUUAUUCUAUUGCUUUAACUUUCAUUUGAGACUGUAUUGUGAUUAUUGACUAACCACAUAUUAUUCUCCAUUUACAUCAAAUCAAAUAAUCUGUGUCAGGUUUUGUACAUUAAGUCGGUCCUAUUUGGCCUCUAUUUAUUACCCUUUUAAAUUUUAUUUUAUAGUAUUUUACCCUUAUUUUUUGGCGCUAGCAUUGACUUCAAGUCAACAUAUGAUAGCUCCAAAUUUUGUGUCCCAUAAAUGAAGAGUUAUUGGAAAGUGAAUAAUAUGUGAGUACUGUAUAAAUUUUAAAUUUUGCUUAAAAUAGGGUUUUUCUUAUAAUUCUUUUUGUUACUUUAGGCGAGUAUUAUAAUUUUUUUAGUUAUUCUCGGCUCGAUCCGUAUAUUUAAGAUUAUUUAAUAAAGAUGAAUAUAUUUUAUUUUUAACUUUACUGAUAAUUUAUUAUUUUUAAAUUUUUACUUUAGUAGCAUCUAUCCGCUUCAAUGUGCAAGUCAUUUCAUAAUUGAUUUUUAAAAAAUAUUUGACUUGGGCCAGAAAAAAGAAUAAGACAAAUGAAUCUCUUUAUUUGAUUAGCUAAAUGUGAAUUUGAGCCUCUUCAGUGUGCCCUUUAAUAUUUGUUAUCUUUUCCUUGUAUAUUCCAAAUAUUUCUUCACCAUAUUUAUAUAAUAAUUUUUUUCUUCUAUAGUUUUUUUCUUUCUUUUCGAUNAAGAAUAAGACAAAUGAAUCUCUUUAUUUGAUUAGCUAAAUGUGAAUUUGAGCCUCUUCAGUGUGCCCUUUAAUAUUUGUUAUCUUUUCCUUGUAGAAUAAAAAUAUUUCUUCACCAUAUUUAUAUAAUAAUUUUUUUCUUCUAUAGUUUUUUUCUUUCUUUUCGAUUUCUUUUAUUAUGUUAUGGUGAGUUGUAAUUUCAUUAUAAACGUCUCUAAUAUGUUUUUUAUAUUGUUAAAUCUGAUUAAUAUGGUUAUAUUUUUUUGUUUCUUCUUUACGUUUAUAUUUAUUUAUUAAAAUAUUUUUAUUCAUCGUAUUGCACGGGUCACUAUACUGUACCGUCCUAGGAAGGACCUCGGGUUGACUACAGUGUCAAGUCCAGUACGCGUUACACAAGACUUUUAAGUCGAGUCCAAAUUGGCAACCUUAGGACCAAAUUAAGCCAUUACCUCUCUAGAUAAAAACAAACGAGUCACUGAAAACGUGAAUGUACUUAUUUUCCACAAAUCACUCCAAAUUUGGACUCCAAAAUCAAACCGACAUUCAUUGCGACUGCGCAGUUUGUCGGUCUACCGAAUUGUGGACUUUGAAAAGAAAUAUGGUGAAAAAUUAAGUUGAACCAUGACUGUAGAAAAAUAAUUAGAGCCAAAUUUUUUUUAUUUAGGGUGCAUUUGGUUCGAGCUAUCUUUUUAAGAUUUCUAAUAAUUCAGUAGGAAUAAAAAAAUACAACGAUAUUUGACUAAACGUACUAAGUAAUUUAGUUGGUAAUUCUGGAUUUACUUGAAAAUGAGAUUUAUUCCAAAAUUCUUAUCCCAUUUCUUUGAAAGAAUGUGAGUAUCCUCAUAUUAAUAGAUUAGAAUAAUCAUAAUAUGUCAAAUUUUUUUCUUUAUUGUUUUUCUCUACUCUCUAACCUCACAUCUCUCUUUAAGCUUGUCUUUCUCUUUCUAAAUUUUAACUCUCUUUCUCUCUCUAAGCUAAGAUCUCUCUCUCCUAUUUUUUCUAAAAUCUCAAUUCUCUCACUCUCUUUAAUUUUGGCUCUAUCUUUCUCCCUAUUUCUUUGAUUAUACUCUCUCUAAUCUAUGUUCUCUCUAUUUUUUUCUAAAAAGAUGUUGAAAUUUUUUAUAGCAUUAUCUGAAACUAAUUAAUAAAACAAAUAUAUUAAUUAUACUUUUUUAAUCUUAAAUAAUCUGACUUAAUAAUAUGACAGUACGAAUCAAAUAUCGGAAUGCCACAUUCUUAAUAAUAAAAUGAAUAAAAGUAAAAUUUUUGAACAUUCUUUUAUUUCUAGUAAUCAUUCAUAGUGCAAACCAAAUACGCCCUUAAGGUAAGAUACACUAUAUAUAAAAGCUACUGCUUAAGAGUACCGCUGCCAAAGAAUAUACUCCUACCUUGGACUAGAAUACUAACCAAUUAAAUAUAACUAGUGAAGACCCGCGCUACGCAGCGAGAAAUUUAGAUAAAUUUUAAAAAUUUUAAACUAUAUAGUAAAUAGCACCGAAACGGAUUAAAAUUUAAUUUUUAAAUUUAUUUUUUUAAUUUUUGAAUGGGAUCUAAAAUUAUACGAAACAAAACAAAAAAGAUUAGAAAAGAGAGGGAAAAGGGAAAAAAAAUAUUAGAAGAGGAAAGGAAAAAAAAAGAGAGGGAGGAGUGGGUCAACAGGUACAAAAAUAGCGAAAAAUUUAUAUAAAUUACUAUAUAUAAUGAAAUAAAUAAUUUAAGAAAUAAAUAUUAAAUUAUAUAAAUAUUAAUAAUAUAAUGCAUAUUAUAAACAAUAUAUACUAUAUAUACUAAUAUAUAUUUAUAAUAUAAUAAUAUUAUAUAUAUAUAUAUAAUAUAUAUAUAUAUAUAUAUAUAUAUAUAUAUAAUAUAUAUAUAUAUAUAUAUAUAUAAAAGAGAGAGAAUGAUAGGGAGGUCGGCGCGCCCAGCGCCGCGCCGCCCCCGUGCCCCCCGCCCCGCCUCCGCCCUCGCGCAGACCCGCCGCACGGCUUCGCCCCACGGCGCCUGCCCGCGCCCAGCUCCGCGACCCAUCCGCCGCCCCCCCCCGCCGCCCGCCUCCGCCUUCACGCAGCCCAUCCGCCACGGGAGAGGGGAAGAGAGGGAGAGAAGAAAGAGAGUCGAUGGGAGGGAGAGGAAAAGAAUGACGGGGGGAGAGAGGAAGAGAUCCGGGGGGGAGGGGGGAUAAGAGGGGAAGAGAGGGGGAGACCUGCGCCCGCACCCGCCGGGCGCGGGUCGCCCGCACCCGCACCCGCGCCCGCACCCGCCGGGCGCGGGUUGCGCGCUCGUGGGGAGGAGAGAGAGGUGGGGAGCCGGGGUCUCUCUCUCUCCCUCUGCUCUCUCUCUCUCUGUUGCCCCCUCUCUCCUUCUGCUCUCCCCCCUCUCUCUCUCUCUCUCUCCCUCUCUCACUUGUGGGGCCUGCCAUAUGUGGGAGGCCCGCACCCCCCGCACGCGCUCUCUCUCUCUCCCUCUCUCUGCUCGCACUCUCUCUCCCUCUGUUCUCUCUCUCCCCCUCUCUCUGUAUACUCUCUCUCUUUCCUCCCUCUGUUCUCUCUCUCUCCCCCUCUCUCUCUCUCUCGCGAGGCCCCCGCAAAACGCGGGGAGCUCGCCGUAGGAACUCUCGAUUCAAGAGUUAUAUAGAUAUAGAUGGUGUGAGGUAAGAGAAAAAUUUAACUUACCGGAUAUACUACGAAAAUUCAACCCAUUAAAUUUAGGGUUAAUUGUAUACAGGAUUUCGCAAACCAUGGUUAGUUAAUUCGCGAAUAAUUCGCAAAUUAUUCGCAAAUUUUUGAAGAUACGAAUUAAACAGCCGUUUUCGUAUUUUUUUUCAAAAAAAUCGAAAAAAAAAUGCGUUUUUUUCGUCAAAAAUAAUUAUUCGCGAAUUAUUCGCGAUUCGCGAAUGAUUCGCCCAAAAAACCGGUGCUCGUGGGUGUGGACUCGCGGCCGCGGGUCACGUCGUCACCACUCACGCCGCCGAACUCGUCCGUGUCGUCGUCGUCAUCCUCCUCCGCCGCCCUGGCCGGCGCCGNAUAUAUAUAUAUAUAUAUAUAUAUAUAUAUAUAGUUGAGAUAGAAUACUAUCGAUAGCAAACGAGCUUCGUUGCCGCCCAUUUGUUUUUGAUGAUGAAGCCUUCAAAUCGACGAUUGACAUAGUUGAACAUGAUCUAUACCGCUUGAAGUGUUUAGAAAUCAAAUUUCAUAUAUUUCCAAUAUUGUUUUCUUAUCCAUCGAGUGGACACAAAAAUGAACGAUUGAAAAUAAAUUUUCUUUAAAAAAUGAUGAUAUGUAAUAACCGAGAUUUCUAGUAAUAAAAAUUAAACCCUUUGUUGACAAUGUUUUUAUGUGUAAUAUAAUUACAUAAGCACUCAUCAAAUUUUAGGUGAAAACGAGUUAAGAUGGAGAAGUUAUACGACUUGAACAGAUAACUUAAAGUGAAUAGUAACUCCGGCUUUCCGGAGAAGCCAGUGAGUAGAAGACGGUUCUGGUGCGCAUUGGACUCCGAUCAUAGCGCUCCAAUAGCUCGUUUCGAACGGUUCGACCAUUCUGGACCCAAUGACACUGACGAAAUUGGAUUCUGAUGCACGGUUGUCGAGAAAAAGGGGUUUGAUUGGUUUCACAUGUAGUAAUAUAAGUGGCUACAUAGUGAAAACAAAAGAGGGAUGGUUUUGACGCAAAUCGAAAACCAAAUCGGAUAAAGUAAGAUGCUAGAUUCGAUGCCCCAGUCGUGCUGAACGCGCUGGGGCAAUCCGUUCGGAAAUCCGAUGGACGGAUCUUCGAAAAUCGUGAAAAGUCCGCUGAGAGGUCAAUUUGGCAAAAUCAAUUAAUCGCAAAAGGACCCUAUAUUUUAUGCGCCGUUUCACGAGAUUUCGAAUGUCGAGGGGCUGGCAUGCAAGUUACACAUGCGGGCAGGGGCAGGAUUAUAAUUAUUUGACUUUGAAGGGGUUCCUCGCAAAAUGACACCUUGUAUAAAAGUGGCGUCUAGGGUUUUCCAUGGUUCUUUGGCUGCCUACGUUCACCUAGCUAACCCUAGCCGCCCCACCUACACCUUGCCCUGCCUAUACGCACACCCGGACUGCCGGUGAGCAGCUACGGCCGCCGGAAAAGCCACCCCGGCCUCCCAUCAACUCCUCGUUAGACCCACCUCGCCACCAGCUCAGUUGUUGUGCUCGGGGAGGCAUCAAAGCCCGAGCUUCAACAUCCCCUGGCUGAGGCCCAUCCCUAGCGCCGUCCCCGCCGGCCUCCGCCGUCCCCGCGCGCCGUCGGAGCCACCCUAGCUCCCUACGGCUAGCUGCAGUCACCCAGGCUGAGUCUAGGUGAUCUCUGCCUUCGCGCGCCGCCGCUGCUCCCCGCCGCCGCUCCCCGCCGGCCGCGCCGCCCUCGCAUCUCUGGCGACCUCCCGCUCGCCAUCCCGGCCAUCCCCGUGGACCGCCGGCCGCCGCUUGUGCACCUUGCAGCCGCCCUGGGUUGGUGCGGGCCGAGGCCGAGUCACCACGACCACCGUGCGUCGCCGCCGCCCGCUGCGGGGCGCACCGCUUUUCCAUCAGCCUUCGCCGACGGAUCGCAGUCGCCCCGAGCUCCUCCGGCUGCCACCUCGCCACCAAGAGCCCUUGAACCCAAAAGCUAUUGGCGGAAUUGAUCUCCUCCGCCGCGCCACUGGUUGCCUCCCGUUGCCGACCGGCGCCUGCCCCGGACCCCUCCGACUGGCCGCACCAUUCCCCGACCCGAACGCCCGUCGUCCGACCGCCGGCGACCAUCCUAGCUCCCUCGGGUCUGGUAAGCAGUAAAUUAGUCUAUAGCGUACUGUUUGAGGGUUCCGGUCACCUUUCCGGUGAUCCAAUGACUCCCCGACACCCCGAAAAGUGAGCACGAUGAUCUAUGAUUCGUGCUGAACAUCGUGCCCACCUCCGACAAGGACAGAGAUGCCCUGGAUUGUGCAUUAAUGGCAAUCUUACCGUUGUGCGCGCUGUUUCACUGAGUUUCGUGUCGCUCGUGCGCGUGCCACAGUGGCCGGCAGUUCUCCAAAAGGUGAGCAUGGCCUCCGGCACGCUGAAACCUAUCAGCGAGCGUGACGGUUUGCCGAAUCUAUCUCUGGUUUGUGUGCACAGUCCAGAAAAGCCUAGAAAUCACAUAAAAUGAUGUGAUUUCAUAUAUCGGUAAGGGCUUUUAGGGUUUUUGCUUCGAUGUAGCUGAUGUUGGCAGCAAGGGUAGGCUGAGAAUAACCUCUGGACUGAUCGUCCAAGGCCCCAAUCCUUUGCGAAAAUCGAAAAGUGAUUUUCGGGGCGUUUUUCGGCGAAAUCCGCCAAUAGAACACGUCUUCGAUUCAGAAUUCAUCCGACGGCGCCUCGUGGUUGAUUGUAGUGUCACUAAGCCUUGUUGGCUUGUCACCCGUGUCGUUUCGAGGGUCCAGAAACGACGGCUGAGCGACGGCGGAUUCCGGUGCCGAAAUAGACACUUCCGGAAACCCGAAUCGGAACGAUUAUCGACGAUAAUCGUUCCGCAUCGUGGUAGCGUCUUUGCUGCCUUGUCACACUAAAAUAGGUGUUUAGCGGCAGCGAGCAACUCAUAUGAUGAGUUGGGUAGUUCCGGGACGGUUCGUGGGUCCCGGCGGAGUCCCGGUGCAGUUUUUUUGUAACUUCUGGUGAGUUCGGCAAUCGGUUUUGGGAAACCGAUUCCCGAGGGGCUAUGAUUGUGGGAUUGUGAGUUAGCGAUAUGUGUUAGUGGGUUAGGUUCUAACCCGGUGGACUUUUCGUAGGUUCGGUUGCACCGUCUUCACAGUCGAUAGAUUUUCGUCAGACACGUACAGGUGGGUACUUCGAUCCGACGUCGGUACAGUGGUGCACGCUCGGUGACGUUUCCUUUACCCUUGUUGUUUAUAUCAUUUACCUUAUACAUGUUGAGCCUUGCACCCAUGCUAUUUCCUUAUUUACUCUACUUAGUUGUUUCCAGGUAUAGUAUCAUGUGUAGGAGUGGAGUAGACUUUAUCUGUAUAUGAUAUCUGUGACCUGGUCGGUCGGUUCUCCUAUUUGCAUCUGUGACCUGGUUGGUCGGUUCUCCUAUUUGCAUCUAUGAUUUGGUUGGUCUGUUCUCCUAUAUGAUCUCCAUGACCUGGUUGGUAGACGUUGCAUCUCCUAUACUUAUGACCUAGUUGGUUGAUUUGAUUACAUGAUGACCCAUGUGGUUGGUGUGCCCUGGGGGGCAGGAUUGUCGGCUGGUUGCCGACGGUUGAUCAUUGAGCAUAUUGCAUUGAUCGCCCGAUACUCGUCGCAUUUCACGAACACUGGCAGUCUGAUCCACCGCAAGAGGUGUUCUUUUCCGAAAAAGUGGUUGCAGGUGUCAACCCGUGAGCCCUAGAGGGGUUAUAUGCAUGGUAGAGUAGUAGUGGCACUGGCUUAAGGUUUGCGGUGCGGACCAAGAGAGCAUUGGUUUCAGAUUAGGUACUUUUGGACUGAUUGUCCCGUUGAUGCAUGCAUACAAUAGCUGUAGUGGUUUAUCUAUACACAUUUCAUUACUUGUUUAUCUUAGCUACUGUACUACCAUUAUCCAUAUCCUUGUUUAUCUCCGUGACUAGUGAGUACCCCUCGCCCUCGUCGGCUUGCGGUACCCACUGGGAGGGGAGAUAUGUUUACAUAUUCUCACCCCCCGCCCCUAUUACAGGUGACGUCGCAGGUCCGAGUGGGACAGCUGGUGAGGAGCGUGUCUAGCGUACGAUAGAGCUCCGUCCCGUGUCGGUUAUUCCUUUACCCUUCAUGCUUGAAUAAAUAACUUAGACAUAUUAUGGUUCAGUUUUGUUAUAUUAUUUGAAUAUCCGAGUUUUCAGUUGGAUUUAUGAUGUAAUAAAAAGGAUUUGUGGAUUUCAAAUGUUGAAUGAUUUUCUACCCCUCGUGGUAGCGUUUCUAAAAGAUAAAAGUUCCCGUGUAGGGAACAGUUUUUAAAAGGGUUUUCUAUGGAUUUGGUAUCUUAGUAUUUCAAAACCUGUUUCUGGGUUGGAAACGUUUUAACUGAUAGAUGUAGAUUUAUGUUUAAAUAUUGAAUGUAUAACUGUGAUGUGAAUGGUGAAUGAAUGAUCGUAUAGUUGUUUCUAUAUUCAUUUAGUUGUGAUUGUUUCCUGUUUACUUGUUGUACUUGUGCGACGCCGUGCAAAUAUAGGGGAGACUCUAUCUGUGUGACCAGUGAACUUUCUGUAUUUGUGGCAGAUCUGGCAUACCCUGGGGUCAGAUCUUUAAAAAAAAAAAUUUCUAGCUAUUUUCGCUGUGUUUUCAAACAAAAUGGACCCCGGGGCGUGACAUGAUAGGAGUUUUGUAAUUAAGAUCAAGAGUAUAGAUCUUGUUUUAAAUAGUUUAAAGAAUUUUCUAAAAAAAAUUUAAUUGAUUUGGAUAUCUUUACGCCGUUAAACGAGAAAAUGCUCAUAUCGACCAUUAAAAUUACAAAUUUUGAAACCCUUUGAUCAUUAGGCAAAUGAUGUCGAAAGAUUUGAAAUUUGAUUUCUAAACACUUCAAGUGGUACAGAUCAUGUUCAACGGUGCCGAUCAUCGAUUUGGAGGCUCAAUCAUCGAAAACAAAUGGGUGGCAACGAAGUCCGUUUGCUAUCGAUAGUAUUCUAGCUCAACUCUCUCUCUCUCUCUCUAUAUAUAUAUAUAUACAUAUAUACAUACAUACAUACAUACAUACAUAUGUGUAUGUAUGUAUGUAUGUAUGUAUGUAUGUAUGUAUGUACAUACAUACAUACAUACAUACAUACAUACAUACAUAUAUAAUAACAUACAAUGUUAUGUAUGAUAUAUAUAUACAUACAUACAUACAUAUAUUAUACAUACAUACAUGUAUGUAUGUAUAUAUGUAGUAGUGUAUGUAUAUAUAUAUAUAUAUAUAUAUAUAUAUAUAAUAUCAAUAUAUAAUAUAUAUAUGAUAAUAUAUAUAUAUAUAUAUUAUAUAUAUAUAAAGGGUGGAAAUGGAGUAUAGGGAGACAACUAUUUAUAAAAGUUAGUAACCGGACUUCUAUAUUAUAAUAUAUAUAGAGAGAGAGAGAGAGAGAAGAGAGAGAGAGAGAGAGAGAGAGGACGUCGGCUACUUAUACUCUUAUGAGUACGAUCGCCCUCGUACUCAUUAAGUUGUUUUCGAUGAUAGAAAACUUCCAAAUGACGAUAUACCGUUAAAAUAUCUAGACCAUUUAAAACUUCUAUUAAAUUAAAUUUAUAAUUUUCGAUAUCAUUUACCUUACGAUGGUCAAACGGUACAAAAUUGACAAUUUUUUAACGCGGUAUGAGAUAUUUGGAUAAGCAUUAACGGUGAAAAAGGAAUCGAAAUAGGUUGAAUUUUUGAUAAAAUUUUAUUCACUGACCUAAUAAAGUCAAUAACUCCGAUCUUAAAUUGAAGGAUCCGAUCAUUCAUUUUUAGGAUGUCAUUCGUUUAACCGUCAUUUUAUACUCGCUGAUGACUUAUAAUUGAUUUCGAAAUUUAUGAAUUUAUUGUCUAGAAGUUUUAAAUACUCAGAUCUGUUUAACGCGCCGUCUGUGGAUCGUCGAUCAAAAACUCCCAACAUCGAAACAACUUAUGAGUAGUAAGGUUCUUAUACUCAUAAGAGUAUAGUAGCCCUACUCUCUCUUUUCUCUCUUCUCUCUCUCUCUCUUUCUCUCUCUCUCUCUUAUCUAUCUAUCUAUCUAUCUAUCUAUUAUCUAUAUAUAUAAUAAAUAUAUAUAUAUAUAUAUAUAUAUAUAUUAUAUAUAUAUAUAUUCAUUUAUUAUAUAUAGUAUUUUAUUUUUAUAUAAAAAUAUUAUUAUAUAAUAUUUUAUUUAUAAAUUUAUAAUUAUUUAUUAAUAUUUCUAAAUAUAUAACUCUUAUAUAUUAUUAAUAUAUAUUUAUUAUAAUUUUAAAUAUAUUUAAUCUAUAUAUAAAAAUUAUAAUAAUAAUAUAUGUAGUAUAUUAAUUAUUAUAUAUUUAUUAUAUAGCCAAAUUUUUUAUCCCUAAUUUUUAAUUGGUGAAUGUAUAAUAUCCGUAUAAAUCACGUAUCUGAAUAGUUGCCGAAUCCGUUUUUUAGUCGUAUUUUUCAACGAAUUUGAAAAUUAAAAGAUGAAUUUUAUCUAAAUUAUACCCGUACUGAAUUUUUGUCGAAUCCGAAUUAACUAUGCCGCAAACAUGGUGAAUAGCAGAUAUAUUCCUGCAAAGUUCAACUUUCAUAAGUUAUCCCUGCAAAAGUCCUAAUGUAUUCAGAUAUGUUCCUGCCGUUAGGUUCCGUUAAAGAAAUUUAAUUAACCACGGUUAAAAUGCUUUACCAUAGUUAAUUAAUAAGGUAAAUUGACAAUUUUACCAUUCUUCUUCUUCCUCUUCCUCUUCAUCUUCUUUCUCUUCCUCUUCCCCUUCUUCUUCUUCUUCUUCUUCCUUCUCCUUUUCCUCAUCUUUCUUCGAAUCGGCCGCAUCUUCGCCCUCUGCCUCGUCGCUGCGGGCCUCAGCCUUGUCCUAGUCGGCCGCAACUCCGACAAGCUCCAUGCCACUGCCGCCACCGCCGCCACCCGCUUUGGCAGCCUGAAAAGGAAGAGAAUGGAGAAAAGGGACAUUUGUGAGGGUAUUUUUGUAAAUAUAUACCAGCUGAAGCUUUUGGAAGGACAUAUUUGUGAGGGCAAAAAGGUCAUUUCACGAACCUACUGUUAAAAAAUAAACAGUUCUCUAACGGGUGCUAACCAGAGGGAUAUAUCUGAAUACAUUAGGACUUUUGUAGAGAUAACUUAUGAAAGUUGAACUUUGCAGGAAUAUAUUUGCAAUUCACUAUAUUUGCAGGGACCUGUAUGCAAUUAACCCUUAAAUUUACUAGGCAAAUAAAGUCAAAAAAUUACAAAAAUGAAAUCCUCCGUACUUUCAAAAAUAUAGUAGCAUAUAUAUAGAGAGAGAGAAUUAGUUUGGUAUACUAUUGGUAGCACGGAGGCCUCUGUGCUAAGUUUUUUCAAUGAUGCCGCUUCCAAAUUGAUGAUCGGCUCCAUUAAACUUGAUCUAUACUAUUGAAAGUAUUGAAAACAAAAUUUCAUAAUUUUUCGACAUUAAUUGACUAGUAAUAAAAAGGUCUCUAAAUUGAUAAUUUUAAUGGCCGAUGUGAUGCGUUUAUAAAUUUAACGGUAUAAAACAAUUCAAAUAUGAUGAAAUUUUUAUAAAUUUUUUUUUUUACUAUUUAGAGUAAGAUCAGUACCUCUGAUUUUAAAUUCAAGUCUUUUAUCAUUAUUUUUUAUAAGAUUUUUAUUUUCAAUCAUUCAUUUUUAGACUACUGGUUUGAUUGGUAAAUAAUGUCGAAAAAUUAUGAAAUUUAGUUUUUCCAAAAACUUUCAAUAGUGUAGAUCAAAUCUAACGAAGCCGAUCGUCGAUUGGGAAGCUGCAUCAUUGAAAACAACUUGGUAGUGUAGAGGCCUCCGUGCUACCGAUAGUAUAUUAGCCGGACUAUAGAGAGAGAGAGAGAGAGAGAGAGAGAGAGAGAGUUGAGCUGAAAUGCUAUAAGUAGCAAACGGGCUCCGUUGCCACUCAUUUGUUUUCGAUGAUAGAGCCUUCAAAUUGAUGAUUGACACUGUUGAACAUGAUUUAUACCAUUUGAAGUAUUUAGAAAUCAAAUUUCACAUCUUUUCGACAUCAUUGACCUAAUGAUCAAAGGGUUUUAAAAUUUGUAAUUUUAAUGGUCGAUAUGAGGCGUUUUCUCGUUUAACGAUGUAAAGUUAUCCAAAUCAAUUGAAUUUUGGUUAGAAAAUUCUUUAAACUAUUUAAAACAAAAUCUAUACUCUCGAUCUUGAUUACAAAAUUUCUAUCAUCACUUUUUAGAAGAUAUUCAUUUUCAACCGAUCAUUUUUACGCCCACUUAAUGAACAAGAGAAUAAUAUCGAAAAAGCAUGAAAUUUGAUUUCUAGAUAUUUCAAGUGGUAUAAAUCAUUUUCAAUGGUACCAAUCGUUGAUUUGGAGGCUCCAUCAUAAAAAACAAAAGGGUGGCAACGGAGUCCGUUUGCUACUGAUAGUAUUCCGACUCAACUAUAUAUAUAUAUAUAUAUAUAUAUAUUAUAUAUAUUAUAUAGUAUUAUAUACUAUUAUAUAUAUAUAAUAUAUAUUGUAUAUGUGGCGGGCAUAGUGAUGCUUAUGGAAGGCCACGGAGGGCUCCGAACCUUGCUUCCACUUUGUAUUUCAAUGUUCGGACUUUCGAAUCGACGCUGCGCUCGUUAGAACUUGAUCUAGAGUAUUUGAAGUUUCUAGAAAAUAAUUGGCCGAUUUUUUUGAUAUCAUUGCCUAGUGAUUCGAAGUGGCUCAAAAAUCAACGGCCUGGAAAAUAAAAAAUCUUACAAAAUAUGAUGCAUAUGACAUUAAAAAUUUAGAUCAAGUUAUUUGAUCUUGUUUAUGUAUAUGGUAUAAAGAAUUGUUCUUAUCAAAAUUUCCAUGUGAUUUGAUAUUUUACACAUUAAACUAUGCAACCGGCUCACCACGGCCGUUAAAAUUAUUGAUUUGCAGACCCCUUCGAUCACUAGCAAAUGAAAUCGAAAAUCGCAAAAUUUAUUUUUCUAGAGGCUUACUUUCAAAUAUCCUAUGAUCAACUCUAAUGGACGCACGUCGAUUCGAAAGGUCUGAAAUCGAAACAGCUGGAAGCACGGAGCGCCAUCGUCGCCUUCCAUAAGCCAUACCAGACACCUCUAUAUAUUAUUAUAUAGAGAGAGAGAAGAGAGAGAGUUAGGCUACGAUGCUAUUAGGAGCACAGUAAAAGGGGGCCCUUUGUGUCUAACUUUCUAAACCACCCAUCAAGUUUGAGGUGGUAUUGAAUGAGAGGGGAAGAAAUAUUGGAAAGAGAAAAUUAAGCGUGGUUUAAUUUCAUUUUGCUUCUGAAUUUCUCUUCAAUAUCUCUUACUCCCUUUUAUUCUAACACCAUCAAACUUGAUGGGGUAGUUAGAAAUUAGGAGCCACACAGGGCUGCUGUCCUCCUAUAGCCACAGUUAGCCCUGGCUUGAUAUAUAUAUAUAUAUAUAUAUAUAUAUAUAUAUAUAUAUAUGAGUAAUGCUUCUAUACUUUCUUUUUUUUCAUUACCGAUCAUUCCCUCCCAUUCAACGGUUCAGAUUUAAUUUUUUUUAAAUUGUGACCUGCAAUAGCAGGUCACUUUGGGAGAGGUACUAGUUACCAGAUAUCUCAAAAAAGAGUAUUUUUGUCUUUUAAUACAUGAGCAAUUUAGUCAUUUUAUCCCUAGUAUAUUAUCAAAAUUUUUAUUCUCUCUUUGUUUCUUUUUUUUCUCUCUAUCUUUCCUCUCAUAUUUUGACAUUUCAUAUAAAAAAAGUUUCAAAUUAUUUGACAAUAAGAACGUGAGAUUAUUUUGUGGACCAACUAUGGAUUUUGUCUAAAUAUCCAUCUUGAAUCCGACGCGAAUCAUAUAUAAAGUUUAAUAUUAUAUUCAAAUUUAUAUUUUAAAAUUUUAAAUUUAAUAUAAAAUAUUUUAAAAUAUGGUAAAAAGAAAUAAUUGUUUCGAGUUCCGGUUUUCGGGUUUGGGUUCGGUUUUGGGUUUCGAAAAAUUGAUCAGUUUCGGGUUUAGAUAUGGAUUUUUGAAAUUCGUUGAGUUAAGAAAUAGGUUUUGCGAUUGUUAGUCAGGUUCGAAUUCAAAGUCAUGACCAUUUUUUCUGAACAGUAAUCCUAAUAUUUUUAAUUUUUAUAUCUAAAAUUAUGUUUAAAAUAUUCAUUAGCUCUAACUGUUAAAAUGUCAUUUUGUUUAAAAUGUUUAUUAUCUUUAACGGUUCCAAAUUGUUCUUAAUCUUAUUCAGUUUAAUAGCUUGAAAUCGGAUAUUUGAUAGAAUAGUUUAAAAUCUGAUCAGUCAAAUCAAUCGGUUCAAUCUGGUUUUUAAAUAUGUUGAAUUUAAAUAUUUGCCCACAUUCAAUUUUUUAAAAUUAGUAAUACAAAAUUAAUGUCUAAGAUGAAUUCAUAAUUUUGUUAAACAUAUAAAAUAUGUUAAAUUUAAAUAUUUACCAACAUUACAAUUUUUUUUAAAUAAUGAUACAAAAUUAAUGUCUAAGAUGAAUUCAUAAUUUUGUUAAACAUAUAAAAUAUGUUAAAUUUAAAUAUUUACCAACAUUACAAUUUUUUCUAAAAUAAUGAUACAAAAUUAAUGUCUAAGUAGAACAAUUCUAAUUUUUUUUAACAUAUUAAAUACAUUUAAUCUAUAAUUUUUUUUACCUGCAUUCAAAUUUUUUUAAAUAAGUGAUACAAAAUUAAUGUUUAAACUAUAGAAAUUUAAAAAUUUCGUAAACAUAUUAAGUAUGUUGAAUUAAAAUAUUUAUCAACAUUACAAAUUUUUUAAAUAGUAAUACAAAAUUCCUCUAACUUAAAUUUUAAUUUUUAAAUUUUAAAUAUUUAUUAUUUAAUAUUUAAAUUCAAUGUAUUUAGAAAUAGAACUAUUUCUAAAAUUCCUAUAAUUUUAAUUAAUGCCUAAAUUUUUGAAUCACUAAAAUUUCUAAAGUAAAUGCGUAAAUUAAUGCCUAAUUAAUGCCUAAAUUAGGGUAAUCAAUCAAUUUCCCAAAUUAGUGCAAAUUAAUGCAUAAAUUUAGGAUAUUAAUUAAAAGUUUUUUUUAAAUGUUGCAUACUUUAAUUACCAAAAUAACCUCGCAUAAUAUAUAACCCUUUUAAUGCCUAAAUUAAUGCCUAAUUAAUGCCUAAAUUAGGGUAAUCAAUCAAUUUCCCAAAUUAGUGCAAAUUAAUGCAUAAAUUUAGGAUAUUAAUUAAAAGUUUUUUUUAAAUGUUGCAUACUUUAAUUACCAAAAUAACCUCGCAUAAUAUAUAACCCUUUUAAUGCCUAAAUUAAUGCCUAAUUAAUGCCUAAAUUAGGGUAAUCAAUCAAUUUCCCAAAUUAGUGCAAAUUAAUGCAUAAAUUUAGGAUAUUAAUUAAAAGUUUUUUUUAAAUGUUGCAUACUUUAAUUACCAAAAUAACCUCGCAUAAUAUAUAACCCUUUUAAUGCCUAAAUUAAUNACGUCGGGAGAGUGUCGGGACAAGUCCGAGUCGCGUUGGCGCGAAAUGGACGCCGAACGGACUCAGUGGAGACGCGAGGGCAUGAGUUAGCACGGGAAUCUGCAAAAUGUAGAUUUUCUGCUUGCUGUACCGGUACAACCAUCAAGGCGUACCGGUACAUUUUGUUGUACCGGUACAACAUCAGAGGUGUACCGGUACACAGUGCAUGUCUCCGCGCAGACUGCUCUCGGGUUGCCAUUUGUACCGGUACAAAUGCCCGUGUACCGGUACACCCGGGGUAGGUGAGGGACUGUUUGGUCUUUGGCUACCUCGUUGCUUUCACCCUACCUACUCCCUCUACAUAAGUGUAGAGAGGGAGAGAGACAGGGCGUUGCUGGUCUUCUUCCCCUUCUUCACUGAGGAGCCCAUUUUGCAUCAAGUCCCUUCAAUUGCGUCCAAUUUCCUCAAUUUGAAGGUGGUGGAGUGCUGAUUUUGCAGUUUUCCAGCAGCGACCGUCAGUGUUUCGGCUUGUGUGCGACAUAGGAAGCUCCGUUUUUUACGAAACUUGGUUUGCUGGAUUCUAAACUUCAAGAGGAAUCGGUGGAGCCCAAUUUCACUGAAUUUGGUGGAGGUUAGUAUGGUCGAAUUAUGAGUUUUCUGGACUGCUGCCACAGUGAAGCUGAUUUUGAGCUUAUUUGAUGUUCUUCAAUGCUAUCUUUGGAAGCAGUGGACUUUUGGACCUGAGACUCACCCUCUAUCAUUAUUCACUGGAUUUGGGACUGUCCUCACCUGAUUUGGAGAUCUUUAGAUGAGUUUUGACAUUGAAGUUGGGUGAAUUUUUAAGCUUAAGUGCUGAAAUUGUGGAAUUGGUGUAUUUUAAUGGAUUUUGAUGAUCAGAUCUUGAUUGUGGAUCAUUGCCGGCUGAGAAUAGGUGCGGCUGGUUCCGACAGGGUGUUCUGCAGCUAAGUGAUCUCCUUGCUGCCAGGAUUUAGCUUUUGAGGUGAGUGUUUCAUCGGUUUUGCUCCUACGUGCAUGUUAGUCGUCGUGUAUGAUUGUCGGUUCUGGUAUAUCAUGCUAAAUUUCAUUGAUUAGCAUCUUGGCUGUAAUAUGAAUGUUGAAGCAUGCUGAAACAAGUACUUACAUUAUACCUGUUGGACUUGGAAACUGACUUAGGAGAAAACCAGCGUUUUGAACCUGUCAUAUGCUUAAACUACUUGAUUUAGCUCUAGGAGCCGUUGUAUUUUGUAUCGCCGCAGUAUCGACGCGGUGGAUACCCCAGGUAGUUUAGAUCUCUGUUACGCUUGUAUUGGGAUGCCGAGUGUAUUUUUACAGUAGUGUUCAGACUGUUCCGGACUGUUAGGGGCUGUUGGGGUUGACGGCGGACCCAGAUUUCUGCUUUUGGUCUCAGAUUGUGCCGAGGACACGUGGGUUUAGUUUCUAGACCUAUUUUGACCUAUCUACUUGACUUGGGCUUGUGAGAACCUGAUUGAGCUCGACAGAGAAACGCUUGCAUACUCGGUUGGAUAGUUCCCAUGAGUGCCACUCCGGAGGCGGGCGUUGUACUUUUGCGUUGGUGUCGUUCGUGCAGGUUGGACUCGCUCUCCACUGACUGCUUAGUGUGGAGGUAGCUGUAUAGUCGCAACCGGGCGGGACGGGUGUGUUCACAGUCCGAGGGACGGAUAUGUUUACAGUCUUUUUUGAGAUUGGGUCCGAGAUGACUUUGUUCUACAGAUGAUUAGAUUUAGAGCAUGAUAGUAUAGUGUCAUUUAAUUGUAGAUUUAUUUCAGCUUUCCUUACUAUUUCUUCUUAUUCCUUAGACUUAGUGGGUGGACCGAUGAGUUUGAGGGCGGUACCCACUGAGGACUACUUGUUUUUACAAUAGUUCUCACGCCCUGUUGCUCACUUUCGUUUUGCAGAGCCGUCGUCUUCGGCUGCUGCUGCUGCUUAUCCUGAUCGUGGCAAGAGCGUUGCCAGUUAGAGCCCUUCCCUGUUGUUGCUAUUCGAGAGGUUACCAACUGCAGGUAGUGCUAGUUUUUGAGUUUCUUAUACAUACUUGUUGUAUCUCACUGGGCGAGCAUUUUUGUAUACCUGGAUGUACGUAUGUAUAUGGAACUUAUUCCUGUUUAUACCAGUUUUAGUCAAGCAACUCUAUACUACUGGUUGUAGUAUUGUAUGUGUUACAGGUACAGCUACGCUUCGUAUACAGAAAAAUUUUCUUUGUGUACAGCGGAUUUGUCGGCGUGCCCAGGGAACGUGUAAUCCGGAGCGUGACAUCAAAACCCGAUUUUUCACUUUCCUCUCCUGUCAUUUAAAAACCUACACUUUUUUCCCUUGUAAAAUGAAAAAUGUCAACAAAGGGAAAUGUUGUGAACUGUGAUGAUAAAACAAACCAUUUUGCCUCUCACCAUUUUGCCCCUCACCAUAUUCACAGGAGAGAAGGCUGAGUGUCACGCCCCGGAUUGCACUUUCCCCGGGCACGCCGACAAAUCAACCGUAUACAAAAAAAUUUCUCCUGUAUACGAAGCGAAAGCUGUACCUGUAAAAUAUACAAUACUACAAAUAGUAGUAUAGAGUUGUUCGAAUAAAACUGGUAUAAACAGGAACAAAUUUCAUAUACAUACAUACGUUCAGGUACACAAAAAGCUCGCGCAGCGAGAUACAACAAGUAUGUAUAAGAAACUCAAAAACUAGCACUAUCUGCAGCUGGUAACCUGUCGAACUGCAGUAACUAGGAAGGGCUCUAACUGGCAACGCCCUUGCCACGAUCAGUCUCUGAGGAAGCAACAGCCGGAACAGCAGGCUCUAUAGAAAUAUGAUAACAACUGGGCGUGAGAACUACUAUAAAAAUAAGUAGUUCUCAGUGGGUACCAUCGUAAACAUCGUCGGUCUACCCACUAAGUCUACAGAAAUGAGCAAGGAUAGUAUGAAAUGCUGAAAGAAACUCUACAGCUACAAGACACUACACUAUCAUGCUCUACACUAACCAACCGUAGGAAGUGUCAAUCUUGACCCAAUAGAACUGGGACUGUAAGCCUACCCAUUCCUUGGACUGUGAACACACCUGUCCCGCCUGGUUGCGACUAUACAGCUACCUCCACUCUAAGCAAUCCGUGGAGAGCAAGUCCAACCUGCACGAACGACACCAACGCGAAAGCACAGCGCCCGUCUCCGGAGUGGCACUUGUGGGAGCUACCCAGUCGAGUAUGCAAGCGUAUCUCUAUCGAGCUCAAUCAGGCUCUCACAAGUCAAAGUCAAGUAAUAGGGUCCAACUGGUCUAACAACCAAUAGGUCACGUGCCCUCAGCAUAAUUUGACGCCCAAAACGGCGAUAUAGAUCCACCGUCAACCCCGACGGCACCGAACAGUCCGGAACAGUUUGAACGCUACUGUAAAAAUACACUCGACAUCCCAGCACGAGCAUAACAGCUAUCUAAACUACCUGAGGUAUCUACCACGUUGAUACUGCGGUGAUACAAAAUAACAACAGCUCCUAGAGCUAAAUCAGGUAGUUUAAGCAUGUGACAUGUUCAAAUCGUAGGUUUUCUCCUAAGUCAAAUCCAAGUCAAACAUGUGUAGAUACCUAGUCACAGUAUUAAGCUCCAAUUCAGAUUCUACAGUUAAACAUGCCAAAAUCUAUGAAUCGAGCAAUUUCUAUCAACGAAAUAACAUAAAAACACAUGUCGACAAUCUAUAUACUUAGAAGAUAACCGACGAUUAACCGACAUCGAUAGCUAAUCCCAAUCCGGCGCGACGUCGAGAACGGCGGAAUCGCACCCUCGCCCGUCCUCCUCGCGAUGCUAUGAUGACGAACGUACGCUCGAACAGCACCGCGACGCGACGUCGACGACGAACCAACCCACCCGAGCUCCUCCUUGUUCACGGCUAAUGCUAGAGAGAGAGAGGAGAAGAAGCAUGCAAAACUCCCUAUCUUAGCCUCUCUACACAUGUAUCUAGCAAUGGAAGGAAAGGGCGACACGUAUGAGGCAAGGAAUGACCAAAUCCUCUCUCACCUAUCUUGGCGUACCGGUACACGGGUAGUUGUACCGGUACAAAUGGUAACCCGAGAGCAGCUGCGCAAAAAUCUGGCGAAGUGUACCGGUACGCCCUGCUGGUUGUACCGGUACAGAAAGUGUACCGGUACACCUUGAUGGUUGCACUGGUACAACAAGCAGAAAACCUGUAAUUUGCAGAUUUCCAAAGUAAGUCCUGCUCUCGUAUCCCUGCUGAGUCUGUUUUGUGUCUAUUUUGCGCCAACACGACUCAAACUUGUCCUGAUACUCUCCAGAGCUGUCGACAAGCCUCUACUGCUGUACACCAGGGAUACCACACCCUCCCCACUACAAAAAGUUUCGUCCUCGAAACUUAACACGUACCUCAACCCUGAGCAUCAAACAAGUAGGGAUAGGGCUCCCUCAUCACUGUCUCUGGCUCCCAAGUCGCAUUCGGCUCCUCGUGAUUACUCCACUGCACUUUUACAUACGGGAUGACCCUAUUGCGCAAUUCUUUCGUCUCCCGAGCAAGAAUCCGCAACGGUCGCUCCUCGUAUCUCAGAUCCUUGUCAAUCUCUAGUGUAGUGAAGUCGAUCACGUGAAAAGGAUCGAAAACAUAUCUCCUCAAAGUCGAGACGUGGAACAUAUCAUAAAUGUCUGCUAGCCGUGGAGGUAGAGCAAUCCUGUAGGCAACCGGUCCAACUCGCUCCAAUAUCUCAAAAGGGCCAACGAAACGUGGAUUGAGCUUUCCACGUACUCCAAAUCGACAAAUCCCUCUGGACAGCGAAACUUUGAGAAAUACAUGAUCUCCAACCUGAAACUCUAAGUCUCGUCUCUGGGUAUCGGCAUAGCUCUUCUGGCGGCUCCGGGAUGUCAAAAGGUGUCGUCGAACAACUCUCACCUUUUUCCCAGCCUCUAGCAAGAUCUCAGGCCUUAGUGUCUUCCUCUCACCCACAUCACUCUAAAACAAAGGGGAUCGAUAUCUGUGUCCCUACAACGCCUCAAACGAAGCCAUCUGGAUGCUCGUUUGAUAGCUGUUGUUGUACGCAAACUCAGCGAGUCUCAAAUGUCGAUACCACCCUCCUCCAAAGUUCAGGACGCAUGCCCUCAGUAUGUCCUCUAAAGUCUGUAUGGUCCUCUCUGACUGACCAUCUGUCUGUGGGUGAAACGUCGUGUUGAAAUGCAGCUGUGUACCCAAAGUUGUCUGAAGACUCCGCCAAAAAUGCGGAACAAACCUCGGGUCCCUGUCCGAUACAAUCAACAUCGGCAUACCAUGCAGCCUGACGAUUUCAUCUAGGUAUAGCUGCGCGAGCCUCUCUCUGGACCAGGUGGUCUGAACUGGUAGGAAGUGAGCAGACUUAGUCAGUCUGUCCACUAUCACCCAAAUAGCAUCGAAACCACCCUGUGCUCUCGGUAAUCCCACGACGAAGUCCAUCGUGAUCUGCUCCCAUUUCCACUCGGGUACUGGCAGACUCUGAAGUUUGCCAGCAGGUACCUGAUGCUCGGACUUUACCUGUUGACAAGUUAGACACUGAGUAACAAAUCUGCCAAUGUCCCUCUUCAUUCCAUUCCACCAGAACUGUGCCUUCAAGUCCUUAUAUAUCUUGGUUCCACCAGGGUGAACAGUAUAAGGAGAACAAUGAGCCUCUCUCAAAAUAUCCUCUCGGAUCUCUAAACCCAUGGCACACACAGUCGGUCCCUGUACCGCAGUACUCCUGAACUGUCUACUACAAAGCCCUCAGCCUGUCCCCUGUCUAACUGCUCUCGAAUCCUCAACAAGUGUGGAUCUCCACUCUGUUUCUCUCGGAUCCUAUCCAACAGAGUGGGCUGCAAGACUAAAGUCAUCAGUCUCACAAUAGACCCAGAAGACACUAUCUCGAGCCUUAGCCGCUGCAGCUCCUCGAGUAACAGCCUCUGCUGUGUGAUCAUCAAACUCAGGCUUUGCACUGCCUCCUGCUCAACGCAUCUGCCACCACAUUCGCCCUACCGGGAUGAUACUGAAUACUAACAUCGUAGUCAUUCAGUAAUUCCAACCACCGGCGCUGCCUCAGGUUCAGCUUUCUCUGGGUGAACAGAUACUUGAGACUUUUAUGAUCGGUAAGAACCUCGCAGUGCUCGCCAUACAAGUAAUGCCGCCACAACUUCAAAACAAAGACUACCGCGGCAAGCUCCAAGUCAUGCGUGGGGUAAUUCUUCUCAUAAUCCUUUAACUACCAUGAAGCAUAAGCAAUUAUCCUACCAUGCUGCAUCAGCACACAGCCCAGCCCGAUGUGCGAUGCAUCACUGUAGAUCACAAAUCCUUCCCCCAUCACAGUAAAGGCAAGGAUAGGAGCUGACGUCAACCUCUGUCUUAACUAAUCAAAGCUCCUCUGACAAUCCUCACUCCAGAUGAACCAAAUCCCCUUUCGAGUCAAUCGAGUGAGGGGUAUGGAAAGCUUCACAAAGUCUUCCACAAACCGACGGUAAUAACCAGCAAGUCCCAGGAAACUCCUCACCUUUGUCACCGUCGUCGGUCUGGGCCAAUCUCGAAUAGCAUCGAUUUUCUUCGGGUCCACUGCUACUCCCUCUGCAGAAAUCACGUGCCCCAAGAAAGCAACCUCCCGCAACCAGAACUCGCACUUCUUCAACUUGGCAUACAACUUCUUCUCUCGCAGAAGUUGUAGCACAGUCCUCAAGUGCUCCUCAUGCUCGGCAUCACUCCGGGAGUAUAUCAAAAUAUCGUCGAUGAAGACUACCACAAAUCUAUCCAAGAACGGCUUGAACACCAUGUUCAUCAAAUUCAUAAAUGCAGCAGGGAUAUUUGUCAAUCUAAAAGGCAUGACCGUAAACUCAUAAUGCCUAUACCGAAUCCGAAAAGCCGUCUUGGGAACAUCCUCGGCCCUCACCCUCAGCUGGUGGUAACCGGACUGGAGAUCAAUCUUCGAGAUGACAUAAGAUCCCUGCAGCUAAUCAAACAGAUCAUCAAUACGCGGCAAAGGAUACAUAUUCUUGAUGGUCACUUUAUUCAGCUCUCGGUAAUCAACACAUAACCUAAGUGAACCAUCCUUCUUCUUUACAAAUAACACUGGUGCUCCCCAAGGCGACACACUGGGUCUCGCAUACCCCUUAUCCAUCAGAUCCUGAAGCUGCGCCUUUAGCUCUCUCAGCUCUGCCGGUGUCAUUCGAUAAGGUACCUUCGAGAUUGGUGCAGUUCUUGAAACUACAUCAAUCACAAACUAAAUCUCCCUCUCCGGCGGCAACGUCGUCAACUCCGAAAAAAAUAUAUCCGAAAACUCGCGGACUAUAGGGAUAUCCUCGAGUCCCGGCGCCGCUGUAGGUACCUCUACCACCGUCGCCAGAAAAGCAACACAUCCCCUGCUCAUCAGCUGUCGAGCCCUCGCCGAAGAUAUCCAGGUGGCAAACAAUAUACUCCUGCAGCCUCUGAAAGUAAACUCCUCCUGGCCUGGAUCGCCGAACGUCACCAUCCUCGCUCCACAGUCGAUCGUACCAUAAUACCGCGCCAGCCAAUCCAUACCGAGCACUACGUUGAAGUCCUGCAACUGCCCUAAAAUCGACAAGUCUGCGGGCAUGAUCCACGAGUCUAACUACACCAGACACGACGAACAACACUCUACAACCUGUAACACAUGGUCGGAGAUCUGCACCUCUCGUGACAAUGCAACAAUGCAAAUACUCGACUAACAAAGGAGUGAGAUGCACCAGUAUCAAAAAGAGUACGAGCUCUAAUGCAAGAAAUCAAAAUAAUACCUGCCACCACUCGGUCGGCUACUGUAGAGUCCUCCACCUGAGCUGCAUAGACACGGCCACUCGGUGCCUGCUGUCGCCGCUCACUCUGACGCGGCACAGAUGCCUUAUCCUCCUGGUGGUAACUCGGGGCUGCUCCAAAAGACUGCUGGAAUGCUGGCUGAACUGAGGCUGUGGAUGGUGCUGACGAUGCUGCUCGAGGACAGGCUGAUCUCAUAUGCCCGGGCUGACAGCAACUGUAACACCUCCCUCUCUCUGCUCGCACUGCCGGGGCCAGUGGGGUCCUCCACAGAUCACACACUGCGGUGUCCUCGGUGGCUGUCCCUGUUGACGGGAUUCCCCAGAACGCUGAAGCCCCGAAAACCCACGACCCUGAGAGCGUGAUCGUGGCAGUCUCGGCGGAUGCCUGCUGCUCGACUGUUCAGCAUCAUCUGAAAAGGGCCGCUUCCGGUCCUGACUCUGCCCCACCGCCUGAGUCCUCUCCCGAAUGGCAACAUCAUGUCACGCCCCGUGGCCGAUUUUAAAAGCCUUUUUAAAAUUCAUUACCAUUUUGAAAACAGAGCUGCGGAAGACAUGCCAUUUUGUUUUUUAACUUGGCCCACGUGACGUACAGACUUGUCACAAAUAUAAAGUUCCUCUGUCCACUCGGAUAGAGUCUACUUUGUAUUUGCACGGCGUACCAACAGCUACAUCAGGAUCUCAACUACAAUUUGCAAUUACCAAUCAUCAAUCAAUUCAUGAUAUGCAAUAACAUACAGUUAUCGAUCCUUAGAGAUGAUGCAUGCCUCUAAGCACUCCUUACGCGCUGGAUGAUACAAUGCACAAUAGAACAAUCAUCCUAUUUUAAAAGUGCUCCCCACCUGAAAGUUUUGUUUUUAAACUCUAAUUCGAUCAGUCAUAAAACAAUCGAAAAUUUUUUAAAAAAAUUAUUUUCCACUCGAAAACUCUAUUUUGAAAACCGACUACCUCGAGGGGUAGAAAACAACGAUGUGUAAAUAUACGAAAAUUCGAUAUCCAUAAAACCAACAUCCAGAUCCACAAACCUCUGUUCAAAUGCAUAAAUAACGAAAACAUCCAUAACUAAAAUCAGUUCACAACAUUCAAGCAAUCAGAGGAUUAUCUAACCGAACCAUUUAUUUAAACUACUAAAAGCAGGAAUGAAAUAACCAGGGUGACGGUCGCUAUACCAGACUAGCUAGAUCGUCUUCUCGUCGAGCCCAAAGUCCAACUCCUUGCCCGAAUCACCUGGAAAAAUGGGGAGUGGGAAACCGCAACCAUAGUUUUCCAGUGGGUACGACAGAGCCACGAAGGCAAGCCGUAAUCACCGAAAACCAAAGGAGAUAGAUAGACAAGUAUAUAUAUAUGCUGAUAUGAAACAGAACUACAGUAGCUAUAACAGAUCUAAUAAGAAGCAAGAAGUAAGACUGCUACUGUAUAGAAAAUAAUGCAAAUAUGCCUCAAAGUAAUCAACCAGAAACUGUACCGAGCUGCCUGUCACUAACUGCACCGACCUGAUCCAUCCACCCCACAGGACGACCUAUCCGGAUAAGUACACCUCCGAUCGGUGGCCAAACCGAUCCGGUGUCAUGAAUACCCCCAAGUGCUGUGACUAAGUCAUGCUGGUAUGCUCAAACAAAAAUCGGCUGAAGCCGGUGCCUAGGCCGAAGCCAACAACAAGGGCGUACAACGCCGAAACAUGAUAGAUGCUAGGGCGUACAACGCCGAACCAUGAUCAACCAGAUCGAAACACAUGACAAAGGAGUCGAUGUGUUGCCUGGACCCAAGGUCCACAGAGAUAUCGAAAUAUAAAUGCCAACCUGCUCUACAUGUCUAUCAACAACUAAUAGAUGCAGCCAAGAAAGUAAGAUAUACUAAUGAUAACCAAGCAAUGACAUGUAGAGACUACAAUAAUGGAAUAGAAAAAUAGAAAAAGGUGAAACGCUCUCACCGACUAUCAGCUCGAAGCACCCACCUGUCACAAUCGCAUCGGAAAACCUGGAUGCAUACAAGUCGACCGGACCUACAAAGGUCCACUGGGUCAGUAUCCAACCUACUAACCCAAAGCACAAGACUCACAAACCCCCACACAGAUCCCUGAAUCGGAUUCCCAAAACCGAUCACCGUAACUGACUGGAAGUUCCGAAAACCACACCGGGACGCCGUCGGGACCCACUAUGUGUCCCGAAAACUCACGACUCAUGUCACGAGUCACCCGUUGCCACAAAACAGUCCGAUAUGGAUGUCCUGGUAGCAAACACAAGAUAACAUAACCCAACAAUUAUCGUCGAAUAAUUGUUCGGAUCCGGAUUUUUGGAAGUGUCUAUUUCGACACCGAAACCUAUCGUCGCUCACCCAUCAUCACCGAACCCACAAAAUGAUGAUGGUGACCAGCCAACAAAGCUCAGCGACAAUUCACAGGACAACCAAACCGUGUCAGAAAAAAUCCGAAUCGAAACCGCGUUCUUUCGGCGAAUUUUGUCAAAAAACGCACCGAAAUCGACUCUUCGAUUUCCGCAAAGGCUAUCGGAUCAUGGACAAUCAGUCCAGAGGUCACCGCACAUGCAAACACACUACCCACAGUAGCCACAAGGUGCACAAAUGCAUAAAAGCCCCUCACUUUACAUAAAAUCCUAUCAUUUUAUGUAAAUCGGGCGAUCAAGUGACUCAUUCACGCAAACUGAGGACUCCCGAGGUCCGUCGAGACACGUACUGACAGGUCUCGACGUGCCGAAGACCGUGUUCAUGGUCCGGAGUACAAUGGCUCACUGUGGGAAGCGCGGGAGCAACCCGAAGGUUCUGCAAACAGCGCAGUCGGGGAAAAUCAAGCCGAACAGGCCGAUUCGACAUCCGCUGAUCCAAAGUAAAGUGAGCACUGUGAUCAGCACAGACCAGCGAUCACCGUGCUCACCUUCAGAGGCAUCGGGACAGCCUCGGAUCGCCAGAAAAGUGCGCGCACACACGGAACAGCAGCCGAAAAGGCCCAAAAAGGGCCGACACCGCCUAAACAGCGGAACGAAGCCUUCCCGACAAAAAAAAAUAAGGUGAGCAUGAUGAUCAGCGAUGAGUCACGAUCAUCGUGCUCCCUUCUGCAGUGAUCGGGAUGUCUCGGGAAGCUCGGAACAGUAAACCAUCCAAAAUAAGCCCUAUUUCGGGUUUGGCCGGAGCAAGCUUGCUCCGGCCGGCCUCCGGCGGCACGGCAAGGCGCGCGCGGGCCAGGGAUGGGUAGGAGGGAGUGGACGAGCAAGGUUCUCACCUCAGUUGGCAGCGAGGAGCGGCGGUGGUGACGGCGGAACCAACCAAGCCCGCACAAGAUCAAGCUCGGGUUCUAAGGGCAGCUGCGGCCACGGCGGCGGUCGGGGCGCUCAGGGACGGCGGCAGAGGGUUGCUGGAGUCCGGAGGGCAGCCUCGGGCACGGCCUCGAGCGGCGGGGAGGCGGCCCCGAGCGGCGGCGGCGCGGGGGUCGGAGACGUGGCUUGCCUCGGCCUGCACAUGUCUUAGGCGGCUGCAGCUGGCCGAGGCGGCGGCGACGGCCCGCAGGGGCGACGGCGACCGGCCGGGAAGGUCGGUGAGGCCCAGGGGAAGGCCGCGGGAGCGACCCCAAGCGGCUGCGGCGCGGAGAAGAGGCCGCACGAUCUGCUCGGCCUGGGCUAGGGCUAGGUGGCUGCAGGCGGCUACAGCGCGGCGCGGCGGCACUCGAGGAAGGCGGCGGUCGGCGGGGAAACUCUGACAGUGUCUGGGCGACGCAGGCAAGGUGUAGGGAAGCAAUGCAGCCUCGGCCAAGGCUUCAACCCAAGAAGAAGAGAGGGGUGGAGAGAGAGAGAGAUGGAGAGGAAGGCUGCGGCUGCUACUGGCCGGCCGAGGCUCAGUCAUCAGCGGGCGGGGGUGGCGCAGCAAGGGCAGGGCAACCAAGGGAGGUGGCUGGGGGUUUAGCUCGGGCUAGGGUUAGGGUUUUCUUAGUGCAAACGCUAAAACAAGCAUAUAUACAAGGUGCAAUAUGCGAGUUAGCCCACCAAACCUCAGUAUUUAGUACUGAGUCUCUCACAACGCGUGUACAAUGCGAGAAUGCCUCUCCACGUGCGAUCUCACGCAAAACGGUACAUAAAAUAUCGCGACUUUUGCAAAAUUACCGUUUUGUCAUCACCGACCUCUCCUCGAACAAUGCGUAAUAUCCCCAAAUCCGUUCGUCAGAUUUGUGAACGGAUAACACCAAUGCGAUCAGCACAACUAAGACAACAAACCUACGAUUUUGGUUCGCCUCAAUCGGUCACGGAUUCGCGACGAAAUCUGUUUUCUCUCCAAAAGGCCAAAAUAACGCACAAUUACAUAGAGAACAUGUAUUUUCAGAUUUUCUCGAAAUCCGCGGGUCAAACCCAAAAUCCGUCAGCUCCAUCGGUUCCAAAAUAGCUAAAUCGUUCGAAACGAGCUAUUGGACUGCUAUGAACGGAGUCCGAUACGCGCCAGAAGCCAACUUCAUGCAUUGGCCUCUUCGGAAAACCGAGUUACUAUUCACUUUCGGUGAAUACUGAAGAUCGCGUAAAAUCUCCGUUCUAACUCAUUUCCUCCCGAAACUUGACGAGUGCUUUUGUAAUUAAAUUACACACAAAAAUAUCGUCAACAGAGAAUCUAACUAUACAGUGAAAUUCUCAGUCCUUACACAUCACCUCUCUCAACCCAAAGAGUCUGCCCCAUCAACGCAUCCAAGGUCCGCAACCUCUGCGUAUGAACCAACCGGAAGAUCUCGGGACUCAAACCUUGCUCAAAGAGGUAAACUCGGUGCGCCUCAUCCUUGGCCACAAACAGCACACAGUUCAGCAGUCGCGUGAACUCCCGAAUGUACUUCUGAACUGUCCGCUCACCCUGCUGGAUCUUCUUCUGAUCCUCCUCGAGCUUCUGUUUCACACUAUUGGGAAAAUAUAUCCUGAACAGCAUUCCACAGAACUCGUUCCACUUUAUAUACAGCGCUACUAGCCCAUAGUCUCGCCUCAUCCUCCUCCACCAGGCGUAAGCAUCGCCUGACAAACAGUGGACUCCCAGAUGUACCUGCUCUCUCUCUAAUACGAAUAGAUCCUCAAAUAGCUUCUCCAUCGCACUGACCUAGCCCUCAACCACCCAGGCCUCAGUGCAACUGCCAUCGAAGAUCGGCGGAUCAAAACGGCGAAACCGAGCCAGCUUCUCUGUCAACCGCUCCUCCUCGGUCUCUGUCAUCUGUACUGGCCCCCUAGCAGGCACAACGGGUGCCACAGGAAUCUCCACUGGCGGGGGUACAACUGCGGCUGGUGCUGCCGCCGGUGUGGUCGUAGAUGGAAUAGCCUGCUUUGGUGCGCUCGGUACUGUACUCUGUGACUAAGCCACCCUCUCACACAACCUCUGCAACAACUUUUCCUAUCGCCUCGUCAUCUCCGUCAAGAUAGCCAACUGUGCACUCAAAUCAGGAGGUGCACCUACCUCCGUUCGGGCCCUCUGCUCUACAACAAGGGGUGCACUCGCCUCUACCUGCUCCGGCAUCUCAGGAGAUACGGCACGAUCCUGAGUCAACUGUGCAUGAUCCCGCGUAGACGGUCGACAUCGGCGACGAUACAUAGCUGCAAGAAACAGAACGGGGUCAGAUCAAACAAACACUCUCGACCCAAUCAAUGAAAGUCUAGAAGGUGGCCCCCUGUUUCUCCUCAAAAUUAUGUCGUCUGCAGCCAACAUAAUUUUUCUGGACCGAAACAGAAACUCCUUCAAUCACUUCCUCCGCUCUAGGAGGAGUUAGAACAAUCAAUCAGUGACUUUCGGGAUAAAUCACGCUUCUCGCGUCUUGCCUUUCUAAGGUUUGCCAACUUAGGUUUUCUAUGUCCCAACGACCUAAUACAAAACUUUGAUACCAACUUAAUCUGUCACGCCCCGUAUUGUACGUUCCCCGGGCACGCUGACAAAUCCGCCGUAUACAAAAGAAUUUUUUCUAUAUACGAAACGAUAGCUGUACCUGUAAAACAUACAAUACUAGAAACAGUAGUAUAGAGCUGUUCGAAUAAAACUGGUAUAAACAGGAACAAGUUGCAUAUACAUACAUACGUUCAGGUACAAAAAAAGCUCGCCCAGCGAGAUACAACAAGUAUGUAUAAGAAAGUCAAAAACUAGCACUACCUGUAGCUGGUAACCUCUCAAACAGCAGUAACUGGGAAGCGCUCUAACUGGCAACGCCCUUGCCACGAUCAGUCUCCGAGGAAGUAACAGUCAGAACAGCAGGCUCUGCAGAAAUAUGAUAACAACUGGGCGUGAGAACUACUAUAAAAACAAGUAGUCCUCAGUGGGUACUGUCCUAAACAUCGUCGGUCUACCCACUAAGUCUACAGAAGGGAGCAAGGAUAG